GGGAAAGUCUGUCCCAGCUCUGUCCUCUUCCAGACUCAGCUCACAAUGUCGGGCAUUGGGGAAAAUCUGAAAGCAGCUGGUGAAUUUGGGCCGUUUCAGAGACGGCUGGUGCUGUUCUCUUUGUUUCCGUGCCUCAGCCUGGCCUUCCAUCAGUUCUGCCAGCUUUUUAUGGUUGUGGACGUGCCUCAUUACUGCAACACGGACUGGAUCCGUGCUGUCGGCCCCAACCUGACAGAGGAAGAGCAGCUGAACCUCACCCUGCCCCGGGAUGCGAAUGGGGACUACGAGCAGUGCAUCAUGUACUCGCCUGUGGACUGGGACCUCGACUCCAUCGUGGCAUAUGGCCUGAAUGCCACAGAGAAGUGCAGCAAUGGCUGGGUGUACCCCACAACACAGCCACCAUCCCUGCUCACUGAGUUUGAUCUCGUGUGUGACAGGAAGAACCUGAAUGACAUCUCACAGUCCGUCUAUAUGCUGGGAAUGUUCCUGGGAGCCAUGAUCUUUGGACUCUUCAGUGACAGGUUUGGCCGUCGGCCAGCCCUCUUGAUCUCCAUCCUCCUCGAGGGUUUGUUUGGUGUAGCAAUUGCCAUUGUGCCUCAUUUCUAUGUAUACUUGGCCUUCAGAUGUGUCGUGGGGGCUUCAGUGUCAGGGAUCAUGAUGACCUUGCUGGCCCUAGUUACAGAAUGGGUUGGUGUCUCCUAUCGACCACAGGCAGUUCUUCUUUCUCACUGCUGUUUUGCUAUUGGACAAAUGAUUUUGGCUGGCUUGAGUUACGGUAUCCCAAACUGGAGGUUGCUGCAAACUGUAGGAUCUGCUCCUAUAUUUAUCCUUUUCCUCUUCAUCUGGGUGCUACCAGAGUCAGCUCGCUGGCUGGUGACAAAAGGCAAAAUAGAAGAAGCUAAGAAGUACCUUAAGAAGGCAGCAUCCAUCAACAAACGCACCAUUCCUCCAGAACUGCUGGACCAGCUGAAGGGUGAGACCCAGACCAAGUCUGGAAGUAUUCUGGAUCUCCUUCGGAAGAAGCACCUCCUGAAGGUGACUUUAGUCAUGUCGUGUGCCUGGUUUGUUAACAGCCUGGUAUACUACGGUUUGAGUAUGAAUGUAACUAAUUUUGGCCUGGACAUCUACCUGACACAGCUUGCAUUUGGAGCAGUGGAAAUCCCAGCCCGUGCUGGUUGUAUCUUCAUACUACAGUGGUUUGGGAGGAAGAAAUCCCAGGGUGGUCUCCUUCUGCUAAGUGGCCUCGUGUGUCUGAUACUCACUGUCAUCCCUGAAGAUCAGCCUGUGGUGAUCACCGUCCUGGCCACCAUUGGCAAGUUUACAGCCUCGGCCUCAUUUUCAUCGUCCUACAUCUAUACUGCAGAACUCUUCCCCACCAUCAUCAGGCAGAGCGGCGUGAGUCUGUGCUCAAUGGUGGCACGGGUGGCAGGGAUCAUCGCCCCGCUGAUCCUCAUCCUGGAGCAGUACCACAGUGCCAUCCCCAUGGCCAUCUACGGUGGCACCACCGUGCUGGGGGGGCUGCUCUGCUUCCUGCUGCCUGAGACCCGUGGUGUCGAACUGGCAGAUGGCACAGAGGGAGGCCAGCCCACAGCAGUGGCAGAGCGGCGUGAGUCUGUGCUCAGUGGUGGCACGGGUGGCAGGGAUCAUCGCCCCGCUGAUCCUCAUCCUGGAGCAGUACCACAGUGCCAUCCCCAUGGCCAUCUACGGUGGUACCACCGUGCUGGGGGGGCUGCUCUGCUUCCUGCUGCCUGAGACCCGUGGUGUCGGACUGGCAGAUGGCACAGAGGGAGGCCAGCCCACAGCAGUGAAAACUGCACCUGGUUAGUGUGAAGACCACUGGAUGUGUUGUUCUUGGCUGAGGAGCACCUGAGCAGUUUGACUGACGAUGUUUUGCACAGCUCAUCAGGACUUGGAAACUGUCCAUUGGUAUUGCUGUGUUUAAUGACAUUGUUAGCUGGUCUACGUGUUGUUCUGCACAGUAACAAAUGGAGUUGAUAGAGCAAACUCAAGUUAGAAUAGCUUCAGCGAAUACAGCACACUUUUGCAUCCAUAUAAUGGAAUGUUGUGGCCUCCCAUGAUAGUGAGGUCAUGGUCAAAAGGCAAAAAGGGCCUGAUGUGAUCUGAAGGGCUAAGUAAGGGAAACAGGAUGACCCCAUAUCCAAGUGUAGGGAGUGGGAAGGCUCUGGGAGAGGUAGGGACAAAAAUCACAGUGGAACAGGUUGCCCAAGGAGGCUGUGGAUGCCCCAUCCCUGCAGGCAUUCAAGGCCAGGCUGGAUGUGGCUCUGGGCAGCCUGGUCUGGUGGCUGGUGACCCUGCACACUGCAGGGGGUUGGUCCCUUUCAACCCAGGCCAUUCUGUGAUUCCAUGAUUCUUUGAAGUCGGAGCAGCAGAUGCAAGGCCUUGGUGGAAGAGUUUAUGACACCAUGAUGGGAGGGCCAACUGUGGGAAGGUGCUGAUGGUAAUGAUGAACAAAUGCCAUGGACCCUGUGAGUGGCCGAAGAGUGUGCUAAGAUCAAUGAAUGUGCAAUUUCGGGAGAUCUUGUGAGCCUCCAAACAUGCUUGGCCUCGACUUCUUGACACCUCAUCCCUCAGAAACAAAAUGCUCGGAUGCAUUUUGCUGAGUGGCCAAGAAGAUCCUGGGAGCAAGACUAGCGUUGUGCUGGGAGAGACAGCUUAAUGAAAAGGCAUGAGCUCACAGAAUGGCUUGGGUUGGAAGGGACCUUAAAGAUCAUCUCUGACUGUAACUAGGCAGAGUAAGACUAAAAGCCACCCUCCUGCUUCCUUUGUGGGACAGCAGAUGCCACUAAAGGUUGUGGUUGACCUGGCAGUAGCCAAAUGGGGCCUUCAUUAGCAGCUGACCAUGACGGAGGUAAAGCAUCCAUCUGUCCACUCAGCUUAUCUCACAUUCAAUCACAUGUACAAGCACAGCUCAGGAAGCUUCCGCAGCUGCUCAUCAAGAAAAAUAUAUAAACAUGGAUUGUUCAUCAGAAGGCUCAGAAAUAAAAAAUGUCCUAAUUGAACCCA